UCCCCAACCAGUUCUUCCCCAAAUCGAAUCCUCGAGAGCCCUCCUCCUCCACCGCCGCCGCCGCCGCCGACACUCCCUCUGCCCUCGACCGCGCCCUCCACCACCGACCCUCUGCCCUCGAACGCGCCCUCCACAUCGACCCCCUCCGCUGACCUGUGCGACCCCCACCCAUAUCGAUGACGCCGCUGCGUAGAUGUCAACCUCGCCUCCCUCCCACGCCUCUGGUUUCGCUCCCUUCGGCACCGCCACAAGGGCUGGUCGACGGGGCCGGUGCGUCGAGGUCGACAUCGCCUACCCCCCACCACGUCUUCCGUGCUCAGAUCUGUCAUGGAGGAAACGCGAUGCAGGUGCUACCAGUGAAAGGAUUGGGGAUUGGUUCUAGCAGUUGUAGGUUUGUUUGGAAUUCAUAAUGCUCAUGAUUUGCAAAGGCUAUCAGCCAGCCAAUUUUAGCGACAUGGACGGGCCUUUGUUUAUUCAGGUUCAGACAUUGCACAACUGAAGGGCAUCUGCACCAGAUAAUAGAAGCUCUGCAAGGGCCAGCACGGCUAUGGUUUGCUUGUGAGGAGGGGUUGAUUUUCUGAGUUGCAGCCUGGAUAAUAUGUAUCUUAUGAUCCAGAAAAGGAAAGAAAAACAAUCUGUUUCUUACCGUGUUGGUUGGUUGGCUACACGCACAUUUCCUAUGAACCAUGCCUUAAUAAUCGAGCCGCCACUGUAAUCUCACAUCGUGAUCGGUCCUCACUUGAUGAAGUAGCAUACCAACAAAACACGUCGAUGCAUAGCAUUAAAUGCUUGCCCAAAAGAGUCCACAGCUCCUUGCGCUCAAGCAUUAUAUUGUCUGACCUCCUAAGGGUCGUUGAGGAGUUGGCAUAUAAUAGCAGCGACACAAAUGCUUAAAAGAUCGAUGUUUCAGUAAAUGUCAGAGGAUGUUAUAUUAAAGUGGAAGAUGAUGCUAUUGCAGGUUGGGGUAUUGCUUGAGAUGAAUUGUUUCUAUUGGGAGAAAAAUAUGGUAAGUCAUAUCUUUGGGUGCUUUUCUGAAUUCGUGGAUAUCAGAAUGAGAUUGUUCUCAUAUAGAAAGGACUGCCUGAUUUGCUUCAUAGAAGUAAUAAUGGAACUGACAUCCAUUCUGUGAUAGUUGACCUCGAUAAUUGAUAUUUAAAGGAGAUAUUAUGCUUAUUCUACCUGGGAUUCUGAUUUCUUCUGCUAGUGUUUCUUUAUCUUGGGCAUCGAGGGUCUGGAGUGUGUUCAUGCUGCACAUCGGCACAUCGUGUGAUUAUCAUGCGUUCUUCAGUGGGGUCGGACCUCAACAGGAGUAUGCAACUAUGAGCCAUGAUGAGUGCCCGCCUACUACGCCCAUGGGCCAUGGCAUGCUGCAUUGAGCGAGCCGUUGCUUCCUUCUUUUCUUUUCCUUUUUGAUCGAAGUUCACCGCCUACAACACCCACGAUAUGGCGUGUUGACCAUGCCCUUGCCGAUGUUUUUUUCCUUUGUGAAUAAACGUAGUUGCCACUGCUUUUUUCUACAGGACGCUGCUCUUUUAUUUCCUGGAUAACCACGGGACGCCGCUGUUUUGUUGUCACGCAAGCAGAAUUAAAAAUGAUCUCUUUUUAUCUACUGAACUAAUCAAGAGUUCAAGUCCAGGACGUCAUACAUCAAAAUUGGUGUGGGUCCGCCUUUCUAAUGGUCGUAAUUUACUCAUUAAUGGAGGGUCCACCAAACUAACGGUCCGAUGUGUCUGAUUAAUAAAGUGCUAGUACAUUGGAUAAGAACAUUGGCACAUGUGACUGGGAGCCCAAAAGACUAUUUUCUGGACGGUGUUCUAUGGAAUCUUCACAUACAGGAAACUAAAAUUUAUAUCAUAGGUUGGAAAUGUUCUUGAAGACGGGUUAAGAUACCUUGCCGUAACCAUAUGCUUUGAGCUCACCUAGAAGACCUUACAAGCUUUACUCUUUGUGCUUGUUCCAUUCUGUACAACUUGGACGCCUUGAAACUGCAGAUACUAAAUUAUGAUGUAAUUCUUCACACGUAAUCAGUGAAUUGCAUAUAUUGUAACCUUGUAAAUGUUUGAUGAAGAGAAUUUAUAAUAUGAAUGUGAAGUACUUGUGC